rnacentral:rRNA from 1 species
AUUGAACGCUGGCGGCAGGCUUAACACAUGCAAGUCGAACGAGUGGCGGACGGGUGAGUAACGCUAGGUAACCUGCCUGGUAGCGGGGGAUAACUAUUGGAAACGAUAGCUAAUACCGCGUACCAUAGGAUGAGCCCAAGUGGGAGUAGGUAGUUGGUGGGGUAAUGGCCUACCAAGCCGCCGAGCUCUAGCUGGUCUGAGAGGAUGACCAGCCACACCGGGACUGAGACACGGCCCGGACUCCUACGGGAGGCAGCAGUGGGGAAUAUUGCGCAAUGGGGGCAACCUGACGCAGCCAUGCCGCGUGAAUGAAGAAGGCCUUCGGGUUGUAAAGUUCUUUCGGUGACGAGGCGUUAAUCACAGAAGAAGCACCGGCUAACUCCGUGCCAGCAGCCGCGGUAAUUC